rnacentral:rRNA from 1 species
AUCCUCUUCGGAGGUGACGCUUGUGGAACGAGCGGCGGACGGGUGAGUAACACGUGGGCAACCUGCCUGUAAGACUGGGAUAACCCCGGGAAACCGGGGCUAAUACCGGAUAAUACUUUUCAUCACCUGAUGGAAAGUUGAAAGGUGGCUUCUUGCUACCACUUACAGAUGGGCCCGCGGCGCAUUAGCUAGUUGGUGAGGUAACGGCUCACCAAGGCAACGAUGCGUAGCCAACCUGAGAGGGUGAUCGGCCACACUGGGACUGAGACACGGCCCAGACUCCUACGGGAGGCAGCAGUAGGGAAUCUUCCGCAAUGGACGAAAGUCUGACGGAGCAACGCCGCGUGAGUGAUGAAGGUUUUCGGAUCGUAAAGCUCUGUUGUUAGGGAAGAACAAGUGCCGUUCGAAUAGGGCGGCACCUUGACGGUACCUAACCAGAAAGCCCCGGCUAACUACGUGCCAGCAGCCGCGGUAAUACGUAGGGGGCAAGCGUUGUCCGGAAUUAUUGGGCGUAAAGCGCGCGCAGGCGGUCCUUUAAGUCUGAUGUGAAAGCCCACGGCUUAACCGUGGAGGGUCAUUGGAAACUGGAGGACUUGAGUACAGAAGAGGAGAGUGGAAUUCCACGUGUAGCGGUGAAAUGCGUAGAGAUGUGGAGGAACACCAGUGGCGAAGGCGACUCUCUGGUCUGUAACUGACGCUGAGGCGCGAAAGCGUGGGGAGCGAACAGGAUUAGAUACCCUGGUAGUCCACGCCGUAAACGAUGAGUGCUAGGUGUUAAGGGGGUUUCCGCCCCUUAGUGCUGAAGUUAACGCAUUAAGCACUCCGCCUGGGGAGUACGGCCGCAAGGCUGAAACUCAAAAGAAUUGACGGGGGCCCGCACAAGCGGUGGAGCAUGUGGUUUAAUUCGACGCAACGCGAAGAACCUUACCAGGUCUUGACAUCCUCUGCAAUCGGUAGAGAUACCGAGUUCCCUUCGGGGACAGAGUGACAGGUGGUGCAUGGUUGUCGUCAGCUCGUGUCGUGAGAUGUUGGGUUAAGUCCCGCAACGAGCGCAACCCUUGAUCUUAGUUGCCAGCAUUUAGUUGGGCACUCUAAGGUGACUGCCGGUGACAAACCGGAGGAAGGUGGGGAUGACGUCAAAUCAUCAUGCCCCUUAUGACCUGGGCUACACACGUGCUACAAUGGAUGGAACAAAGGGAAGCAAAACCGCGAGGUCAAGCAAAUCCCAUAAAACCAUUCUCAGUUCGGAUUGCAGGCUGCAACUCGCCUGCAUGAAGCCGGAAUCGCUAGUAAUCGCGGAUCAGCAUGCCGCGGUGAAUACGUUCCCGGGCCUUGUACACACCGCCCGUCACACCACGAGAGUUGGUAACACCCGAAGUCGGUGAGGUAA